rnacentral:rRNA from 1 species
AUACGGAGGAUCCGAGCGUUAUCCGGAUUUAUUGGGUUUAAAGGGUGCGCAGGCGGCCAUUUAAGUCAGCGGUUAAAUCGUGGGGCUCAACCCCAUUCUGCCGUUGAUACUGGGUGGCUUGAUUGCGGUCGAGGUUGGCGGAAUUCGUUGUGUAGCGGUGAAAUGCAUAGAUAUGACGAAGAACACCGAUUGCGUAGGCAGCUGACCGGACCGCAAAUGACGCUCAUGCACGAAAGUGCGGGGAUCGAACCGGAUUAGAUACCCUGGUAGUCCGCACAGUAAACGAUGAAUACUUGUUUUCGGCGAUAUAAUGUCGGAGGCAAAGCGAAAGCGAUAAGUAUUCCACCUGGGGAGUACGCCGGCAACGGUGAAACUCAAAGGAAUUGGCGGGG